rnacentral:lncRNA from 1 species
CCACCGUGGGCUGUGCUGGAAGAGGGUGGAGGGAUGGCCAGGAUCCAGAAGACAAGAAGGAAAACAAGCCCUGCGCCAGGCAGAGUAACUGCAGAUCCAAUGGAAAAGGCGCCCAGCCUACUGAGAUGCCAAUUAGUUUCCCUGUCCACGGUGGGCCAGCAUCCCCGCAGGAAGAAAUCCAGGGAGCAGACAGUGAGGUCCUCGGAAAGCCCAGCUGUGAUGAAUAGGACUUCUGGUUCCCCUGGGAUCUGGCUGGUUAUUUUGUAGGAAAUUGAAUUUCUUGG